UACGGAGGGGGCUAGCGUUGUUCGGAAUUACUGGGCGUAAAGCGCACGUAGGCGGUUUUGUAAGUUAGAGGUGAAAGCCCGGAGCUCAACUUCGGAAUUGCCUUUGAGACUGCGUCGCUCGAAUCCGGGAGAGGCGGGUGGAAUUCCGAGUGUAGAGGUGAAAUUCGUAGAUAUUCGGAAGAACACCAGUGGCGAAGGCGGCCCGCUGGACCGGCAUUGACGCUGAGGUGCGAAAGCGUGGGGAGCAAACAGG
rnacentral:rRNA from 1 species